GUUUUAAUACAAAUCUUUUUUUUGAAUCUUACUACUACCUGCCGAGUGGUUUGUUGUGUAUUUACAGUGCUAGUAAAUAAAAAAAGCUGGGAAUUGUUCAUUGGUGGUAGGUAUAAAACAAACCUACUAAGAAGUCACAGUUAGUUGCCGCUAAGGCCGUUUUGCGAAACUGGAUGGUACCUAUAGUUUCAUCAAACCUGGCACUUACUCGUAUAACCAAUGAUAAUAUAACGUUGGCCACAACUAGCUAAAACUGUCCACGAAGACCGUUUGGUCGCUACGCUUUAUGAUCUCCUUCUACGUAAUUAGUCUUACUGCACUAAUGCACUUUAGGUACGAUUCGGUUAAACUAUUGUCAUAUGUAAUGUUCAUAUACAGUGUGUUACCAUCAUGCGGGCAUUUAUUAAAUCUGAUAAUAAUACGAUCCAGUAGCAAUUGUUUGCGUGUAUUAGCAGAUCAUAAUUAUGUGAAUUAAAUUUCUGAAAUCCGCACAAUCAAUGUAGUGGGUGUACUACUGCACUUGGUACAAGGCGUGUCGUGGUACGGGGGUAAAAAACCGAGACAACUAACAAAAAAAAUAUUGUCGUCCUUAUCAUUGCGUUCAUGUUGGUGAGGUUUUAAUACAUUCGAAACAGUUUUUAAUAAACUUCGACAUGACAAUUUGAAAUGUUUACGUCGGGUUGUCAAGUCAAACCAAAAUAUUAGCAAAAUUGUUAUUUGAUUUUCUUUAAAAUGCCUUACGGGUGGCUUACGUUAGCAUACCCGAGAUUUGUUGAAACACGUGGAAAGGCAGCUUAUGGCUUUAUCAGAAACGCUUCCCAAAUUAACGACAUUCACACAAUGCUCGAUUUUUAACCGCGGCUCUUCAGCGAGUUCGUGAGAAUAGGCCAAUCGCCCCUGGUCAACUUGAAAGGGCCAUGAACGGGAUCGUGCCAGUGCAAGUUGAAAAAAGGAUUCUCGAGCACUUCAGACAGAUGCGUCAGGCACCCAUAUGUCAAGGGGAUUUCAUUGCAAUCAAUCACGAUCGCGUCUCGUCCCGUAUAAGUCAGCAUCAGGUAACAUGAGGGCACCUUAUAGAGAUCUUUUAGACCAGCCACGCUGUAGGACUGAGAUUUACAAACGGAAUGCGUAUUACACGUGUAUUCUCGUUUACAACAAUCUACCAACAGAAAUCAGGAA